rnacentral:rRNA from 1 species
UACGAAGGGGGCUAGCGUUGCUCGGAAUUACUGGGCGUAAAGGGCGCGUAGGCGGAUAUCUAAGUUGGGGGUGAAAUCCCGGGGCUCAACCUCGGAAUUGCCUUCAAAACUGGAUAUCUUGAGUUCGGGAGAGGUGAGUGGAACUCCGAGUGUAGAGGUGAAAUUCGUAGAUAUUCGGUAGAACACCAGUGGCGAAGGCGACUCACUGGCCCGAUACUGACGCUGAGGCGCGAAAGCGUGGGGAGCAAACAGG